AUUGAACGCUGGCGGCAGGCCUAACACAUGCAAGUCGAGCGGAGCGGCGGACGGGUGAGUAAUGCCUAGGAAUCUGCCUGGUAGUGGGGGAUAACGUCCGGAAACGGGCGCUAAUACCGCAUACUAUCAGAUGAGCCUAGGGCGGAUUAGCUAGUUGGCGGGGUAAAGGCCUACCAAGGCGACGAUCCGUAACUGGUCUGAGAGGAUGAUCAGUCACACUGGAACGGGGCCACGGUCCAGAUUCCUACGGGAGGCAGCAGUAGGGAAUAUGGGACGAUGGGCGGAAGCCUGAUGCAGCGCCGCCGCGUGGGGGAUGUAGGCUUUCGGGUUGUAAACCUCUUGCGCUAUCGAACGGGUAGGUGGAGAAGAAGCGCCGGCUAACUACGUGCCAGCAGCCGCGGUAAUUC
rnacentral:rRNA from 1 species